rnacentral:rRNA from 1 species
GACGAACGCUGGCGGCGUGCUUAACACAUGCAAGUCGAACGGAAAGGCCCUGCUCUUGUUGGUUUCUCGAUUGGCGAACGCGUGAGUAACACGUGAGUAACCUGUCCUUGACUUUGGGAUAACUUCAGUAAACUCGGGCUAAUACCGGAUAGGAGCUCCUGCUGCAUGGUGGGGGUUGGAAAGAUUCGGCUGUUGGGUAUGGUCUCGCGUCUUAUCAGCUUGUUGGUGGGGUAGUGUAUUACCAAGCCUUUGACGGGUAGCCGGCCUGAGAGGGUGGCCGGCCACAUUGGGACUGGGCUGCGACCCAGACUCCUACGGGACGCAACGGUGGGGAAUAUUGCACUGUGGGCGGAAGCCAACUGCGGCAACGCCGCGUGGGGGAUGACGACCUUCGGGUUGUAAACCGCUUUCGCCUGUGACGAAGCGUGAAUGACGGUAAUGAGUAAAAAAGCACCGGCUAACUACGUG